rnacentral:tRNA from 1 species
CGUGGUGUAACGGUAGCACAUUCGGCCCGUAUUCGAGAGGUCCAGGUUUGAAUCCUGGCG